GCCAGUGUGGUGUAUUGGUUUGAGCGUUGGACUACAGCUCCAGAGGCCAGGGUUCGAAUCCCCAUUGUGACC